CUCACCCCCACCAUCUCCCUCCUGGGGCUGUGGGACCCCCGAUCCCCCAUGGUUUUGGGGUAGGGGUCUCCCAGGUCUUCACAAGUGCCCAAAUCCGGUGGCUUUUGCCCCACGUUGCAUCGUGGGGGGCGUUAACAAGGAGGUCCUGCAGCCACCUCGGCUCCUGCUGCACCCCUCGGGCUUACACACGUAUGCACACAUGCAUUCACACCUGCACAUACACUCACGCGCACCUGCACACCUGCAUGCACACCUGCACACAUACACAAACACGCACACCUGCACGCACACACAGAAAUGCAGGUCUGCAUGCACAAGCUUGACGUGCACGGCACGCAUGACGCCCCCCCGGGGGCUGCAUGACCCCAUGCAUCCCACCCCAGCCCUCGAAGCCCGGCCUGCUCAGUGCUGAGCACAGCGUGCGUGUGUGUGCACAUGCGUGUGCACACGUGCGUGGGCUGGCCCAGCCUCCAGAGCUCAGUGCCCACGGUGGGACCGUCGCCUCGCCUUGCAGACACCAUGGUCCCGCGGGCCUGCUGCCUGCUGGUGGGGCUGUGCGCCCUGCUCCCCCAUACCACCCCCCAGCAGGACCCCCCGGGGGACCCUGAGCGCUGUGGCAUCACCUUCCACGCCCCGAACCCCUGCGGUCCACCCCACGUGCCAUCCCCUCUUGCCUCCCGCGAAGAGCUGGAGCACCUGCAGAGCCUCUUGCAGCAGAACAGGGCCACGCUGCAGGAUGUGGAGGCGGCGGCGGUGCUGGAGGAACCCCAAUCCCGGUACCAGGAUGUGAUCAAUGAGGCUCUGCCUGCCAUCCGUGGGGCCAACCAGGAAUUUGGGGAGAGCCUGGACAACGUGCGCAGGGAGCUGGAGGCUCACGUGGCCCAGAGCGAUCACCCGCAGGUGGUGGAGAAGAGGGAGAAGCUGCGCAAGGACCUCCGCCUGGUGGCCCACGUGCUGAAUCUCACCUCCCACCUUGCCCACGUCCUCGACGCCUCCUCCCAACGCCUCCAGGAUGAGCUGAGCCACCGCCUGCAGCGCUCAGCCGCCCGUGCUGCUGCUGCCCAGCCGUAGGACACGGGCAGGGCUCUGCCACUGCUAUCCAUACAGCCUCGCUUGCUGGUAGGAUGCUGCUUUGUACCCAUGCUGGAUCGUCUGUACUGCUUUCAAGGAGUCCUUUUGCAGAGGGUGUUUGCAAAGCAAGCUGGGUGCUGGGUGGGGUGGGGGCUGCAGCCUGCUGUGCAAGACCUCAUCCACACGAUGCCCAUCACCCCGAGUAUUUAAUGCAUUUGUCUUGUAGGAGCUCUGCCUGUGAAUGGCAGAGCCCCAUGGCACUGCGUGUGCCCCCUGCUGCAGCCUCCUUCCUUCCCCAGCAGAGCUCUGAGCCCCUUUGCUUCUCCCUGAACAUGCUAUGCCCAUGCAACCAUCUGCAGCCAGCCAAAAUCAGCCAAAAUCUGAGAAACAUGGAACAUCUCAAGCUGGAAGGGAGCCCCAAGGAUCACUGAGUGCAACCCCAAAAAUCCAAACUCAGUGUCUGUCUUCAUCCAUGCUGUUCCUUUCUACAAAUGGCAGAGAAGUGCUGGGUUGGAGCUGCGGGAGAUGAGUACAAGCAACCCAGCAGUAAAUUGAAGCUGGCAACUGGAGUGCACUGAACCUACAGAGGCUUGGGCAUUAGGAAAAUAGCUGGAGGCAGAACACUCUGAUCUGUUCAAACACAAGGAGGACACGUCCUGGCCACACAAUCGCACUGGGCCUGGGGACACCAUAGGUGUGCACUGCACAGCCCUGGGGCUGGGCAACAGGAACACCCCAGGCAGCAGCACUGACACAUCUCCAGGAGCCGCAGGCAGCACAAUAAAGAUGCAUUGCGCUCUGCCAGGCGUCAGCGUUAUUGCCACGUCUGCUUUGCCUCCUUCCUCCGCUAAGGACAGCACCCAGAGGGGUGGUGACACCACCUCUGUGCUCCUCUCCUCAGGUAUUUUGGGUGCUCAGCACCCAGAGGUGCCCUGAUUUUAGUCUGUGCAGGUGGGCUGGGGUCCAACAUUGGGCUGCAGAAUGGGGAGAGAAGUACAUUCUGG
ensembl:lncRNA